UUCUGCCGAAAAAGGGUCUCCUUCGCCACUAAAACAGGUCCAUCCCGAUUGACUAGCGUAGCCCGAGUACAUCACUUCCUAUAGUGGAAUUGUAGGGAAGCGUCAGAUGCAGGUCACAUCUGUUGGUAACAUCUACACCGAAUGAGUUACAUAGGGUUGUUGAUGCUUGCAAGAAUGUCCUAAGAGGCUUGCAUAGUGAAAAGAUGGCAGAUCAUGAAUUGGAUUCGGUUCGUUAUUUUCUUUUAAAGGGCAAAAUGGGUAAAAAGGACGAGUUAAUUAGGAAACACUUUAAGGGUUGAUUGGGUGAAAGUGGCUCAAACUGUAUUUUGAACACAACCUUCUAAAUCAUUUCUUUCAAAAUUAUUUGAAAUAAUAUACUAUUAGUUUUUGUAACCAUGCUCA
rnacentral:lncRNA from 1 species